rnacentral:rRNA from 1 species
CCUACGGGUGGCAGCAGUGAGGAAUAUUGGUCAAUGGUCGCGAGCCUGAACCAGCCAAGUAGCGUGAAGGAUGACUGCCCUACGUAUUGUCCACUUCUUUUAUAAAGGAAUACAGUGCUGUACGUGUGCCUUUAUGUCUGUACUUUAUGAAUAAGUCUCGGCUAACUCCGUGCCAUCAGCCGCGGUAAUACGGAGGUACCGAUCGUUAUCCGGAUUUAUUGGGUUGAAAGGGAGCGUAGAUGGGUUGUUAAGUCAGUUGUGAAAGUUUGCGGCUCAACCGUAAAAUUGCAAUUGAUACUGGCAGUCUUGAGUACAGUGGAAGUAGGCGGAAUUCGUGGUGUAGCGGUGAAAUGCUUAGAUAUCACGAAGAACUCCGAUUGCGAAGGCAGCUUACUAAACUGCCACUGACAUUGAUGCUCGAAAGUGUGGGUAUCAAACAGGAUUAGAGACCCGAGUAGUC